rnacentral:rRNA from 1 species
GAUGAACGCUGGCGGCGUGCCUAAUACAUGCAAGUAGAACGCUGAAGGAAGGAGCUUGCUCUUUCCGGAUUAGCUGCGGACGGGUGAGUAACGCGUAGGUAACCUGCCUGGUAGCGGGGGAUAACUAUGGGAAACGAUAGCUAAUACCGCAUAACAGUAGAUAUUGCAUGAUAUCUACUUAAAAGAUGCAAUUGCACCACUACCAGAUGGACCUCCGUUCUAUUAGCUAGUUGGUGAGGUAACGGCUCACCAAGGCGAAGAUACAUAACCCACCUGAGAGGGGUGUCGGCCACACUGGGACCGAGAACCGGCCCAGACCCCUACGGGAGGGAGCAGUAGGGAAUCUUUGGGCAUGGACGGAAGUCUGACCGGGCAAAGCCGGGUGAGUGAAGAAGGGUUUCGGAUCGUAAAGAUCUGUUGUAAGAGAAGAACGAGUGUGAGAGUGGAAAGUUCACACUGUGACGGUAUCUUACCAGAAAGGGACGGCUGACUACGUG